rnacentral:rRNA from 1 species
UGGUCAAGUUAUUAAGGGUGCAGGGCGGAUGCCUUGGCACUAGGAGCCGAUGAAGGACGUGAUAAGCUGCGAUAAGCUUCGGGGAGUUGCACGUAAACUUUGAUCCGAAGAUUUCCGAAUGAGGAAACUCACUUAGAGUAAUGUCUAAGUAUCAUUAAGUGAAUACAUAGCUUAAUGAGGGGAACUCAGGGAACUGAAACAUCUAAGUACCUGAAGGAAGAGAAAGAAAUUCGAUUCCGUAAGUAGCGGCGAGCGAACGCGGAUUAGCCCAAACCAAUAAAGUUUUCUUUAUUGGGGUUGCGGACAUAUCAUAACGAAGAGGUAUCGUAAUUGAAGAGGUUUGGAAAGACCCACCACAGAAGGUAAUAGUCCUGUAUGUUAAACGAGAAGACUUCAGAUAUGAUCCAGAGUACCACGGGACACGUGAAACCCUGUGGGAAGCAGGAGGGACCACCCUCCAAGGCUAAAUACUACCUAGUGACCGAUAGCGUAUAGUACCGUGAGGGAAAGGUGAAAAGAACCCCGGGAGGGGAGUGAAAUAGAACCUGAAACCCUGCACUUACAAGCUGUGGAAGCACAUUUCUUGUGUGACCGCGUACUUUUUGUAGAACGGGCCAACGAGUUACGUUAAGUAGCAAGGUUAAGCACUUAAGGUGCGGAGCCGUAGCGAAAGCGAGUUUU